GAUGAACGCUGGCGGCGUGCCUAAUACAUGCAAGUCGAGCGAACAGAUAAGGAGCUUGCUCCUUUGACGUUAGCGGCGGACGGGUGAGUAACACGUGGGUAACCCACCUAUAAGACUGGAAUAACUCCGGGAAACCGGGGCUAAUGCCGGAUAACAUUUAGAACCGCAUGGUUCUAAAGUGAAAGAUGGUUUUGCUAUCACUUAUAGAUGGACCCGCACCGUAUUAGCUAGUUGGUAAGGUAAUGGCUUACCAAGGCAACGAUACGUAGCCGACCUGAGAGGGUGAUCGGCCACACUGGAACUGAGACACGGUCCAGACUCCUACGGGAGGCAGCAGUAGGGAAUCUUCCGCAAUGGGCGAAAGCCUGACGGAGCAACGCCGCGUGAGUGAUGAAGGGUUUCGGCUCGUAAAACUCUGUUAUUAGGGAAGAACAAACGUGUAAGUAACUGUGCACGUCUUGACGGUACCUAAUCAGAAAGCCACGGCUAACUACGUGCCAGCCGCCGCGGUAAUAC
rnacentral:rRNA from 1 species